CCAUUACCGCAGGAUCACAGCAUGAAGCUCCUACUGCUGCUGCUCCUGACCUUCAGAGCCGCUCAGAACACCAGCCGGACCCCAGCCGGCCCGGAAAAACUCAUUAUAGCCAGAGGAAAACUGCUGGCUCCGAGUUUGGUGGGAUGAUCUAUAAAGAAGAUGCCUGAGCUCUACACCUUCCUGAUGGAGCGCUGGGCUCUGUAUCAUAAUCUAGAGUACGAUUCAGGAGAAGACAAGAAACCCCGCCUGAUCUUCUACAACGACAAGGAGGAGGUGGUGAUGACAGUUCCAGUGAAGAAGAUGAAGGCAGAUGAGAUCAGUAAUCUCCUAGACUCUCUGGGCUUCUAUAAGAGGUCAAAGAAAGGCGAGGAAGUCCCUGAGGAAUUCCAGAACUUCCCUCUGAAGGCUCCACGAGACGAACUGUGACCUCUGCUGGCUGACUGCUGAAUCUGCUGCACCCAGCAAAUAAUGACGCCCAGGACCCCAAGACCUUCAAACCGGGUCAGGCUCUGGGCCGAGACUCUGACGGCUUGGUGUAGUUAACACUCUCAGCAUGUGAAUAACUGUACAAUAAAUGAUUGAGGAAAU
rnacentral:lncRNA from 1 species